GUUCUAAGUACAGUAAAAUUCUGUUUUUGCCCUUGGAUUUUUGUCGUAAUUUCAGGCUGCCAUUGGUGUGUGCAUAACCGCGAGGUCUGGAAGCCUCUGUCUAGAGUCAGGGUCAGCCACCGACAUCAACAGCGAAAAAAAGCUUGGUAUCCCAGUUUCCAAUUCUCCAAAAUUUCUAACCCCCUUAACCCAAUCGAAUCGAAGUCCUCCUCUUUCCGCUCUCCACCCAAUCGUAAAGGCUUGGCUAUUUUGAUUUGUACAACGAGAGAGGUGAAGAUGAGGAAGAGGAGGAGGACAAUGAAGAAGAGGGCGAUGUUGAUGUUAUUCCGGGCGAUGCAGCUGAAGCAGAAUAAGAAGAAGAAGAAGAAGAUGACGAUGAGGUUAAAGUUGUUGUGAAGCUUAAAACUUGGCAAUUUUGGAGAUUGGCUUCAGCUUUAAAAGUCGGUUGCCCCAAAACAAGUGGUAAUUUUCUACCUUGCAGAAAGUGUUAAUAUGAAAAUGGAAACAAUGGGAAGAACAAAUUGAUGAUUUCAUGUAUGACGAAGAUCUUGCUGCCGCUAUGCGAGCUGUGGAGGUCUGUUAAUGAAUUUUGUCCAUAAGAUUCUAUAAGGGUACCAUGCUCUCCCAUUUUCCUUUUGCACGCCAUUUUCUAAGCUUUUUCAUAUGAUUUAAUGCAAACAUCAAGAUUAACAUUUUGGAUUCGGUUAGAGGGUCAAGGUCAUAUUUUCAAGCUUUUCCUAAGUGCCUUCAACCACAGCAUGUGCCGACAAGCCCUUGACUUAGGGUUACAGGACAGUGGUAAUGGUGUGGUUAUGCAUUCUGUUACAACUGUGGAGUACAACGGUACAACCUGUAGCUCAUACAGCUACCUGUCGAAGCUGUUAUAAUGUUGUCGGGUUCUGGUACACGAGAAGUUUGAAAAGUGUAGUCACACAGACAUGUCCUCAUAAAUAGUCUCGCAGGAUGUAUUUUAUUCUUCAGGUGAAUUUCCUCAAGAACUUCAAAUCCAAACCCGCUUCUGAAAAUCAGGUAUAUUUGAAUACCCUUUUAGUCUCAUAGUGAUUUUCAAUCUCUAGAAUGCUGACUGACACAAUCUGCUUUAUUAGAAUCUAGAUUUUGGAUCUGGAAUUGAGAUUUUUGUAGGCUUUGUAUUCAUAGACCUAAGAAAUAACAUGUUAACAAUUUAACAACAGAGCAAUCUCAAAAUAGGAAAACCAACCUUUGAUAGAGACUCGAGUAAAAGUAGAAAAAUAAAUGAUGCUUAUAUUGAUGAAGUCUUAAUUAAAAUUCUCUGACAGAGUAGCUGCAACUACUUAUUUUCUUCCUCUUCUAAAUCCCAAGGGAUGCUUAUGGAAAACCAUAUUCUGCAACAAGGCCUGUGGAGAUAAAGAAGUUUGAAUAGUAUCAGCAAAGCUGAAAAGGCCUGAUGCUGUCUCUAACUUACAUUUAUUGUCCUUUACUCUUUAAGUCUUAAAAGUAUUUACAUUUGGACAUCUGAAUCUUCAUAUCAUGCUGAAUUGAACUUUCCAGUUCUUGGGUAAAUAGUAAAACCUUUUAGUUCCAUUGCUUUAUGCCUUUUUGCUUUCCUGGGCUUUCAGAUUAGUGGAAGUGUUAACUGGCUCAUUGGUCACAAUUAUUGAGCUUGGGUGAAUAGUCAGUCUCAAACACUAUUUGAUACUAACUUUAUUUUUGGUAUUGCGUUCAUAAGAAAGAUAUCAGGAUGGCACUAUUUCAUGAGUUCAGCGGUUAUAGUUCUUGAACAAGGGGGAGACAAAAUCAUAAAACAAGUGCAUAUGUCAUGAAAUAAAUUCUGUUAUUGUGUAUACGUGGACAAAAGAAUCAAGUGCAUUUCGUGAAGAUUGAAGAAGUGAUAACUCUGUUUCGUUAGAAAGAUCAAAAUGUUUAGCAGUUGUUGAAUGUGAUAUUAAACCUCAAAAUUUGAGGAAUUCUUCUCAAAGCUAAAACUGCUUGGACUCUCUAAGAGGGUCUGAAGGCUUUAAAAUAAUAUUUAUUACAAGUCAUAUCAGUAUGAUCAAAAGAAUCCCUACGGCAGGGUCUGUUAACAGAAUAUCAGAAGAGAUCAGAGACGAGAACUUCUCCUUCUUGCCACCUGUCCUGUAUUUCAAAAUCAAGUAAUAACUAUAUUCCUCUGUUUUUCAUAUUUAUAUCAUUGUUAUGGUUAACAAUGGAAUGUGCAAUACCUUACAUGAACAAUAUAAAGGUGUAGUGCUUUUUUUUUUUAGAUGACUGCAUUAAUCUUAGUCAUAUCAUGACUGUAUGCAUUCUAUGUUUUCGAUCUUCUAUAUAUUGGUUUUGAAAAAUUUAAGGUAGCACCUGAAAUUAGGGUAGUGCUUUUUUUUUUUUAAUUUCUUCAUUCUGUUCUGUUUAUUAUGUCUUUGUCCUGUCUCCAUUAGGUCUGUAACAAUUAGAGUUUGCAUGUAAGUAAGCUUACAUCUUACUGAUCAGUAUAACAUAUGCUUAUCUUCUUUUAAAAUUUUAUUAUCUGCUAUAACGUUCAUUUGCAUUUGGAGUCUUAAGUUAGACAAAAGAUAGUGUAAUCAGAAUACUUUGUGGUGGGCAUGAUCAAACAACAUAUAUUAGGAGAGAAUCACUAUAAGCCUGACCGAUGAUAAUAAAUUUAAAAAAUAGGAGCAGGGGAGUGGAAUCACCUUGAUGAUUCUCCCAUUUUCCUUUUUCACAUUAUAUACAUGACAUGCACUGUCGAUUCCUUGCAUCCUUUUGAAGAGUCAGUUCUAGCUGUUCAACUACUGUGGUUUGAUACCUGCUGGAUGCACUUGGAACUUUUAGUUCAAUUGCAGCUUUGGGCAUUGAAUUUUCCUCUAAUGAUUAGCCUUUGGUUUAGGUUUUGAUAGAGAGCUCUUUAUAACCUGAAAUUUCUUUUAGUUCUAAUAUCGCUGUCUCAAGAACUAUAUAUUUUCUCUGUUAUCUGCAAACUUACCGGUACUUGCUACAUAUUCAACUAUCAGUUCUUAUUCGGCUUCUACUGCAUUCUUACUUUGUCUUGACUAAUUAGAUGAACCUCUGUGAGGAAUUGAAAGCAGUAAAGGAUGUGGAGUCAAAACCAACCAAUGCUGCGAACAAGGAACCAGCCAAAAAUGCGAAGUCUCAACUGUAAUCAUAGACAAGUUUUUGCUGUCUAAUGUGUAAUAUGUACAUAUAGUACCAGAUUUGAAAUGAUGUAUAAUGUAUAUAUAAUUUUGAAAUCUGGCUAUAGUAUCCAAUUUGAGAACAUGUAAAAUAAUGUGUAGUUGUAUAUGCAAUUUUGAAAUCUGGCUGAAGUACCAAAUUUUGGAUCAUGUAAAACAAUGUCUGAUGUAUAUGUAUAACGCAAUUAUAUAACGUGCCUAAUGUUUGUAAA